rnacentral:ribozyme from 12 species
UUUUUUUUUUUUUUUUUUUUUUUUUUUUUUUUUUUUUUUUCACAAAUAUAAACUUUUUUCAUUUAAAUAUUUAAUGUUAAAACCAAUGAGGCGUUAACCAAUGAGGCGACAGCAUAAGUCAAAUAAAAGAGAUUUAAAAGAAAAUGCAAUGAAAAAAUAGAUUUUUUUGGAUUAAAAAGUAAAUUGCUUUUCAAAGGAACACCCGAAAAAACCUGAUAACUCAUAACACCUAGUUCUUUAUUAAUGAAAAAUCUUGUAUGUGAUACCUCUUAGAUACUUCAUUUUGAAACUUGUUCCAGUGAAAUAAUGUCUGCAUCAUGCCCGUUACAAAUAAUUUCUGGCAGCUAAUUUGAAUUUCCCACUUAGGUUUCU